rnacentral:rRNA from 1 species
AUUGAACGCUGGCGGCAUGCCUUACACAUGCAAGUCGAACGGUAACAGGUCUUCGGAUGCUGACGAGUGGCGAACGGGUGAGUAAUACAUCGGAACGUGCCUAGUAGUGGGGGAUAACUACUCGAAAGAGUGGCUAAUACCGCAUGAGAUCUACGGAUGAAAGCAGGGGAUCGCAAGACCUUGUGCUACUAGAGCGGCCGAUGGCAGAUUAGGUAGUUGGUGGGAUAAAAGCUUACCAAGCCGACGAUCUGUAGCUGGUCUGAGAGGACGAUCAGCCACACUGGGACUGAGACACGGCCCAGACUCCUACGGGAGGCAGCAGUGGGGAAUUUUGGACAAUGGGCGAAAGCCUGAUCCAGCAAUGCCGCGUGCAGGAUGAAGGCCCUCGGGUUGUAAACUGCUUUUGUACGGAACGAAAAGGCUCUGGUUAAUACCUGGGGCUCAUGACGGUACCGUAAGAAUAAGCACCGGCUAACUACGUGCCAGCCGCCGCCGUAA